UGGGGAAUUUUGGACAAUGGGGGCAACCCUGAUCCAGCCAUUCCGCGUGAGUGAAGAAGGCCUUCGGGUUGUAAAGCUCUUUCGGCAGGAACGAAACGGUGGGUCCUAAUACGAUCUGCUAAUGACGGUACCUGAAGAAGAAGCACCGGCUAACUACGUGCCAGCAGCCGCGGUAAUACGUAGGGUGCGAGCGUUAAUCGGAAUUACUGGGCGUAAAGCGUGCGCAGGCGGUUUUGUAAGACGGAUGUGAAAUCCCCGGGCUUAACCUGGGAACUGCGUUUGUGACUGCAAGACUCGAGUGUGGCAGAGGGGGGUGGAAUUCCACGUGUAGCAGUGAAAUGCGUAGAGAUGUGGAGGAACACCGAUGGCGAAGGCAGCCCCCUGGGUCAACACUGACGCUCAUGCACGAAAGCGUGGGUAGCAAACAG
rnacentral:rRNA from 1 species